rnacentral:rRNA from 1 species
UGGGGAAUCUUGCGCAAUGGGCGAAAGCCUGACGCAGCCAUGCCGCGUGUAUGAUGAAGGUCUUAGGAUUGUAAAAUACUUUCACCGGGGAAGAUAAUGACGGUACCCGGAGAAGAAGCCCCGGCUAACUUCGUGCCAGCAGCCGCGGUAAUACGAAGGGGGCUAGCGUUGCUCGGAAUUACUGGGCGUAAAGGGCGCGUAGGCGGAUAGUUUAGUCAGAGGUGAAAGCCCAGGGCUCAACCUUGGAAUUGCCUUUGAUACUGGCUAUCUUGAGUUCGGAAGAGGUAAGUGGAAUGCCGAGUGUAGAGGUGAAAUUCGUAGAUAUUCGGCGGAACACCAGUGGCGAAGGCGACUUACUGGUCCGAUACUGACGCUGAGGCGCGAAAGCGUGGGGAGCAAACA